rnacentral:misc_RNA from 1 species
CUCUCUUUUUCUUCUUUUCUCUUUCAAAUUUUUUUUUUUCUUUAGCAGUCACCGAUACAUUUAACAUUGGUAUUAGUUUUUUUUACUGUUUUGUUAUUUGUUUUUUAAUAAACUAUUUAUAUUAGUUUGAAACUGAUUUGAAUCUUUUCUUAUAUUUGUAUCUAUUAGAAAUAUAUAUGAGAUUUUCUCCCUAGUAUUUAGAUUCUUAUUUUUCUCUAUUAUUGAAAUUUUAUUAGAAACUCAAGUACGAUUAAUGAUUUUCUAUCAAUGAAGAUUAAUAGUGUCGUCUGUUCUUUCAUUAACAUUUGAUAAUUUAAUAUCGUAUGCGGACAACAUAAAUAAUAAGAUCCUAAAAUAAUAGAAUUACAGAAUAUUUUUUGAUUUGUCUAAAAUGAAAAAAAAUUGGAUAGUAUCUCAAAAAAUUAUUCUAUUCUAUCUAAAUCAUUUCUAAA